AGAACACUGUGUGGGUGUCGUGUGAGAGUAGAACUGUCCUCUGGGGGAGAAACGCUCCAGGAAUAGAGGACCACCCCCAUCGGUAGGAGACCGCCGGCCCACGGGAUGACCGGCGACGCAGUCCAAACGCAAGACGCCGGUAAUGCCUCUCUACCUCUCUUAACAUGGGUCUGAGCAGUCCCCUCUCCGUGACCUGUAUACAGGCUCAUCCCAAUCAGCUCAGUCUGGGGGUGGGGUGGGUGGGGUGUCGUGAAGGAUAUUUCAGUAAGCUGGUUUUACUAAGUUCAGCUAACUCUAACUUGAUUAGAAAUGCCGAAGAACAGCCCUUCACAUUGAUAAGGCUGUAGGAAACGCCAAUAUAUACAUCUGCACGAUCUUGCAAGGUUUCGCCUAGGUCACCAGUAAACCUUCUUCAUGACCCUUCACCUUGUGUAAGUGUGACUAAGCAAGUAUCAUACAUCACUGUCUCUGACCCAGCGUGCUGCCUGGGCCACAAGGUAUUUCCUUUAAUGAAGAUCUUUUCUUUAGAAAAGUCUAUACUUGCAAAUGUAAAACUAAGCACUGCAGACACACUGGCUUAUUUUUGUCUGUGUUGCCAUUUUUUGGCAGCUUGUGUUUUGGUUUGGCUCUAUUUUUAUUAAUAUAUUUACUUAUACAUAUACAUUAAUGAAGAUGACCCCCCCCUUACAGAGACAUCACCAUGCCUCUUCACCCUCUGAGUCUGUCAACUAGUCUCCUUUCUCCAUCAUGUGGCCGCUGACCGCCCGCCGCGCCCCAAUCAGCUCACAUGACCCACGCCAUGGUCCAAAAACAAAAACCGCCAUCGGCUCCUGAGCAUGCCACUCUCAGCCUCUUCCUCCUCCUCCUCCUCCUCCUCCUCCAACCACAGCCAGUCAGCAGCGUUGUAGCUUCCCCACAUGUCUUCACCACAGCCAACCAGCAGCAGUCCACAGCUAACCAAUCAGGGCACAAAACGUACCUCCUCAGCCAACCAUAUCAGUCGACAAAGUUAACAGCUACACCAGCCACUGUAGCAACCAUCUGGCAAAUUCUGCCUGCAAAUUCUACCCGUCUGAUGGUCAAACUGGCUUCCGUGCUUCAUAUCCUCUGUAGCUUGUUGAGGAACUACUCACCGAGGAAGAGGAGCUUCAGUCGCAGCCGCAGCAGGUCCUCCGUCCCGAGACAGGAAACGGGAGCGGUCUCUCUCUCGUGAAAGGAACCACAAGCCUUCAAGGUCCUUUUCAAGGUCAAAGAGCCGUUCUAGGUCUAACGACAGGAAAUGAAAACGGUGAGGAACUAGACGUGUUCCUGGUAGAAGAACCCUUUUCAAAAGGAUGUGAUUCGAUGAGUGUGUGUGUCUGUGUAUCACGUACCUUCUCAUUUUCCUCACUACAAUGUGAGACUGUGUGAACCGUCCCAGGUUAACUGUAAACAAAUAUCAAAAUUCAAGAUUGCUUCUGCAUUUUUUUGUUUUCCAUUCUGCUAGCCCAGUGUCCUUGUUUUAAAAGGUAAACGUCUCUCUUUCUCUCAGCUAUACACCCUUUCUGUUUGCCUUUAGCAGCCACCAUUGCCUUGUUGAUGCUGUAACCCCCAUAGAACAACCUUUUGCUUUUUUUUUUUUUACCAAAUUGUUGAAGGUUUCUCUUUCUUUUAAUUAAAAUGUUAGUGAUUAGUCUCUGUGUUUGUCUCUCCUUUAAACCUCUUCCAUAAGUAUUCCUGUUAAUGACAACAAAGCAUUUAGUACAAUGCAAAGCCAAAUAACAAACAUCCUAAAUACUUUUAGUAGGCAUGCGUUUCUCUUGAAAGCAGCUACUGAGUUGAUUUAAAUAUGAUUAAUGUAAUUGUAAAACGUCUAGGUCAAAUGCCUAAGCUUAACUGAAAAUCCUAAAUGCUGUGAUGCCAUCACUUUUAAAAGGGAUCAAUUCUGUUCAGGCCUGUUUGUACCUGCUAUACUAGCAGAAGACAUUCUGAGUCGCUUUGUAAGAUGGUGUUUGGUAUCAAUCAAGUGUGUGUUUUACACAUCAGUAUUGAAAUAACAUACUUUUUUUUGAGCAAGGAAGGCAGUGUACACCAAACAAAUAAGACUGGCAGCCCUUGUUAAGAAAAAUACAAAAAGUGGUAACUGUUGCAUAGUUGGUGGAAGAGCUGAAUUGCAGCAGUUGGAGAGAAUAUGGCAACUCCGAUGUUAUGUAAAUGGAUCUGGUAAAGUGGAAACAUCUUUCUUGCUCUGUAACAGGAAGUGAAUCAUGCUAGCC
rnacentral:lncRNA from 1 species